rnacentral:lncRNA from 1 species
UAAUCGAUUAUCAUGUUCCAAUAAUCGAUUAUCUUGCUAAUGUAGCAUAACCCCAACUUACAGAAGGUUCUGAUAAUCGAUUAUCACCUCAGAUAAUCAAUUAUCAUUAUCUGAUAAUUGAUUAUUCUGUGUAUCCAGCCCAAACUUGAAAUUACAGAGAGGUUAAAUAAUCGAUUAUCCUUUGGAGAAUAAUCGAUUAUCUAGUUACCGUUGCCAUCCAACGACUAGUUUUUUGAACGUUGAAGUAAGAUAAUCGAUUAUGCAAUUAAGAUAAUCGAUUAUUAUGCCUUUUAAUUCAAAAUUCUUGUCUAACUAUUGAGCAACGGUCACUUGAUCCGUGAGGGCUAUAAAUAGAUCCCAAAACCUCUCAUUUCUACAACAAUUCUUCAACAAUCUAAU